CUAAGGAGAGACGUCGCCGGCAUGCCCCGUCGCCGUCAAGGCCCUACGCGCCGCCGACCAGUGCCGUACAGAUCUGUCGCGGCCGAUGCAGCUGAUCCAGCCAUGGUCCUCGCCUAGGAGGAGGACGAAUUUCAUCACACCAGCAGUAGUUCAGGUCCAUGCUCAUCCUCUCUGCUCAUCUUGUGUCGUUGUUCAAAUUCAGAAAUCAACACUAGCUUGUAUAGCAGCAAGUCCGAAAGUAGCUCAUGUACACAAUGAUUUUUUUUGUAUGUGAUAUUAGUGCAGAGCA